rnacentral:rRNA from 1 species
CAAUAGCGUAUAUUAAAGUUGUUGCAGUUAAAAAGCUCGUAGUCGGACUUCUGCGGGUGGCGGCCGGUCGUGCUCGAAACGGGCGUGAACUUGGCGUGCUGCCCGCAUCUUUGGGGAGAUUGUGCGUGGCAUUAAGUUGUCGUGCAUGGGAUUCUCAUCAUUUACUGUGAAAAAAUUAGAGUGUUUAAAGCAGGCCUUUGCCUUGAAUACAUUAGCAUGGAAUAAUAAGAUAGGACCGUUGUCUAUUUUGUUGGUUUACAGAUGUCGGUAAUGAUUAAUAGGGAUAGUUGGGGGUAUUCGUAUUCAGUUGUCAGAGGUGAAAUUCUUGGAUUUUCGGAAGACGCACGACUGCGAAAGCAUUUACCAAGGAUGUUUUCAUUAA